rnacentral:rRNA from 1 species
UACGUAGGGGGCAAGCGUUGUCCGGAAUCAUUGGGCGUAAAGAGCGUGUAGGCGGCCAGAUAAGUCCGCUGUGAAAUCUCGAGGCUCAACUUCGAGCUGUCGGUGGAAACUGUCUGGCUAGAGUCCGGAAGAGGAGAAUGGAAUUCCUGGUGUAGCGGUGAAAUGCGCAGAUAUCAGGAAGAACACCCGUGGCGAAGGCGGUUCUCUGGGACGGUACUGACGCUGAGACGCGAAAGCGUGAGGAGCGAACAGG